rnacentral:rRNA from 1 species
AUUAUACCGUGAAACUGCGAAUGGCUCAUUAAAUCAGUUAUCGUUUAUUUGAUAAUACCUUACUACUUGGAUAACCGUGGUAAUUCUAGAGCUAAUACAUGCUGAAAAUCCCGACUUCGGAAGGGAUGUGUUUAUUAGAUAAAAAACCAAUGCCCUUCGGGGCUUUUUGGUGAUUCAUGAUAACUUUACGGAUCGCAUAGCCUUGCGCUGGCGACGGUUCAUUCAAAUUUCUGCCCUAUCAACUUUCGAUGGUAAGGUAUUGGCUUACCAUGGUUUCAACGGGUAACGGGGAAUUAGGGUUCGAUUCCGGAGAGGGAGCCUGAGAAACGGCUACCACAUCCAAGGAAGGCAGCAGGCGCGCAAAUUACCCAAUCCCGACACGGGGAGGUAGUGACAAUAAAUACUGAUACAGGGCUCUUUUGGGUCUUGUAAUUGGAAUGAGUACAAUUUAAACCUCUUAACGAGGAACAAUUGGAGGGCAAGUCUGGUGCCAGCAGCCGCGGUAAUUCCAGCUCCAAUAGCGUAUAUUAAAGUUGUUGCAGUUAAAAAGCUCGUAGUUGAAACUUGGGCCUGGCUGGCGGGUCCGCCUCACCGCGUGCACUCGUCCGGCCGGGCCUUCCUUCUGAAGAACCUCAUGCCCUUCACUGGGCGUGCUGGGGAAUCAGGACUUUUACUUUGAAAAAAUUAGAGUGUUCAAAGCAGGCCUUUGCUCGAAUACGUUAGCAUGGAAUAAUAAAAUAGGGCGUGCGUUUCUAUUUUGUUGGUUUCUAGAGACGCCGCAAUGAUUAACAGGAACAGUCGGGGGCAUCAGUAUUCAGUUGUCAGAGGUGAAAUUCUUGGAUUUACUGAAGACUAACUACUGCGAAAGCAUUUGCCAAGGAUGUUUUCAUUAAUCAGUGAACGAAAGUUAGGGGAUCGAAGACGAUCAGAUACCGUCGUAGUCUUAACCGUAAACUAUGCCGACUAGGGAUCGGGCGAUGUUCUUUUUCUGACUCGCUCGGCACCUUACGAGAAAUCAAAGU